UUUACAAUGUCCCCAAAAAUGACUUGGUGACUAUUCGUUAGCCCGUCUAUGGCAUUUGUCAAUAAUCUCUUUCUGUGGUCUUUCUUCACAGCAUCAUCCUCAAGAAACAAAAAGGCAGUUGUUUGAGGAGGAGGUGUUGUUCCUUCAGGAGUUUUGCAUCUCAAUGACUCACGCUGACCGCUCGCAGACCCUCCCGCACGCCUCCCACGUCUCAACGGCCACGCCGAAGGUGUUUGUGUGUACGUAUGUAUGCGAUGAGUCACGUCUGACCUCGGCUGGAUUUCCUGGAUGGGUAAACAGCUCCUCGCCGUUAUCUCGGGAGGUGCUUUAAUAUCGGCGAGCAAACUGGCAACGUGCGGGGGAAGUGACUUGCCACUGUCACGCAUUCAAACCGGGGCGGGCAAACGUUUUGGGCCACAUUUGAGUUUUCAAUCGGUCAGAAUAGGCCACACCGUUGGUACGGUUGUUGACAUUUAAUCAAAAAUGAACAAAUGCAACUGUAAAAUGGUUUUCGAUGUUGCGUUUCCUGUUUAUGUGGACAGUGGAGAGUAUCGGGGCGGUGCGGAGGGGAACCCAAAAGCAGAACUCGUUUUCAAUCACAUCAUUGGGGGGGGAAAAAAAAAUCACAGCCAGCUGUUGCAGGCUUUCCAAACAAACUGCAAUUUACCAUUGGACAUGCUUUCAUUGUGUGUGUGUGUGUGUGUGUGUGUGUGUGUGUGUGUGUCUGUGUGUGUCGCCGUGGUUGCUGGAGAUCAUCCCAUAAUGCUUUGCAGGUGUUCAUUUGACUGAGGUGGUCAUUAGCCUUGCUUCAGGAUCUAUAGCACACAAAGACAACAAAGGUUAUGUGUGUGUGUGUGUGUGUGUGUGUGUGUGUGUGUGUGUGUGUGUGUGUGUGUGCGUACGCGUGUGUGUGCAUGUGUUUCUAGUCUGCCUCACAGUCAGGAGAUGCAAGUUAGCUUCAUUGCUCAUGCCGCCAGCGCAUCGCAGUGCCAAAUGACGCCGGCAGCGGCCAUCUUGCGUUGCCCUUUGCUAACUAAGUGUGCCUAACUUGGAUGCAUUGAUUUCUCCCAUGUUUUCUUUCUGUCUCUUUGGAGGAAAUGACGCAGCAUGUGGCUGUACGGUUACAGAGCAAGAACUCUGGGAGAAGCGCAACUUGCAAAUUUCAUCCGGAAGAAUGGGAUUAUAAACGGUGUCUCAUAAGCCCGUAGAUGCUGCUGCUGAUGAGGGCAUCGUUGCAUCCAGCCAUGCCGCAGUGAUGCUGCAGCGGGCGUGUUGUCUUCCUCCUCACCAGCGGCGGCGGCGACGGCGGCCGGCCACGCGCGCCUCACCUUGAACCGGGCAGGAGGCGCGGGGGGAGGCGGCGUUGGAGUGCGGCAAGACGCGGGAGGAUCAUUUCUCACCAUGUGGGCACCAAAACUCCAGUGACCCAAGAACUUGAUCUCACCUUUAGAAUAACGACCCCCAUCAAAGAAAAAACACUGCUGCCUUGACAUCUCAACUCUCGUCAUGAGCGCCCUGGCAGGCAAGCUGGAUCCGCGGCGGGUCCAGUGGGGUGCCAUGUGGCACACCUU